GACGUGGAUAUUCGACGUCAUAAACACGAUAAACUUUGGCGUUUAUGACGUCGAUAUUCGACGUCAUAAACACGAUCAACUUUGGUGUUUAUGACGUCGAAUAUCGACGUCAUAAACACGAUCAACUUUGGUGUUUAUGACGUCGAUAUUCGACGUCAUAAACACGAUCAACUUUUGUGUUUAUGACGUCUAUAUUCGACGUCAUAAACACGAUCAACUUUGGUGUUUAUGACGUCGAUAUUCGACGUC
rnacentral:miRNA from 1 species